AGAGUUUGAUCCUGGCUCAGAACGAACGCUGGCGGCAGGCUUAACACAUGCAAGUCGAACGCACCGCAAGGUGAGUGGCAGACGGGUGAGUAACACGUGGGAACGUGCCCUUCAGUUCGGGAUAACCCAGGGAAACUUGGGCUAAUACCGGAUACGUGCGAGAGCAGAAAGAUUUAUCGCUGAAGGAUCGGCCCGCGUCUGAUUAGCUAGUUGGUAGGGUAAUGGCCUACCAAGGCGACGAUCAGUAGCUGGUCUGAGAGGAUGAUCAGCCACAUUGGGACUGAGACACGGCCCAAACUCCUACGGGAGGCAGCAGUGGGGAAUAUUGGACAAUGGGCGCAAGCCUGAUCCAGCCAUGCCGCGUGAGUGAUGAAGGCCUUAGGGUUGUAAAGCUCUUUCGGCGGGGACGAUAAUGACGGUACCCGCAGAAGAAGCCCCGGCUAACUUCGUGCCAGCAGCCGCGGUAAUACGAAGGGGGCUAGCGUUGUUCGGAAUCACUGGGCGUAAAGGGCGCGUAGGCGGCCUGAUAAGUCGGGGGUGAAAGCCUGUGGCUCAACCACAGAAUUGCCUUCGAUACUGUCGGGCUUGAGACCGGAAGAGGUCAGUGGAACUGCGAGUGUAGAGGUGAAAUUCGUAGAUAUUCGCAAGAACACCAGUGGCGAAGGCGGCUGACUGGUCCGGUUCUGNNGCUGAGNNGCGAAAGCGUGGGGAGCAAACAGGAUUAGAUACCCUAGUAGUCC
rnacentral:rRNA from 1 species